rnacentral:rRNA from 1 species
GACGUAGGGUGCGAGCGUUUGUCCGGAUUUAUUGGGCGUAAAGAGCUCGUAGGCGGCUCGUCGCGUCGACCGUGAAAACCCGCAGCUUAACUGCGGGCUUGCGGUUGAUACGGGCGGGCUAGAGUUCGGUAGGGGAGACUGGAAUUCCUGGUGUAGCGGUGAAAUGCGCAGAUAUCAGGAGGAACACCGGUGGCGAAGGCGGGUCUCUGGGCCGAUACUGACGCUGAGGAGCGAAAGCGUGGGGAGCGAACAGG